rnacentral:rRNA from 1 species
CCUACGGGGGGCAGCAGUGGGGAAUAUUGGACAAUGGGGGCAACCCUGAUCCAGCCAUGUCGCGUGUGUGAAGAAGGCCCUCGGGUUGUAAAGCACUUUCAGUGAGGAAGAACGCCUGGUGGUUAAUACCCAUCAGGAAAGACAUCACCCACAGAAGAAGCACCGGCUAACUCCGUGCCAGCAGCCGCGGUAAUACGGAGGGUGCGAGCGUUAAUCGGAAUUACUGGGCGUAAAGCGCGCGUAGGUGGCUUGAUAAGCCGGUUGUGAAAGCCCCGGGCUCAACCUGGGAACGGCAUCCGGAACUGUCAAGCUAGAGUGCAGGAGAGGAAGGUAGAAUUCCCGGUGUAGCGGUGAAAUGCGUAGAGAUCGGGAGGAAUACCAGUGGCGAAGGCGGCCUUCUGGACUGACACUGACACUGAGGUGCGAAAGCGUGGGUAGCAAACAGGAUUAGAUACCCCUGUAGUC